rnacentral:rRNA from 1 species
GGUGAAAAUCUUGGACCGUCGCAAGACGGACAGAAGCGAAAGCAUUUGCCAAAAACGUUUUCAUUGAUCAAGAACGAAAGUUAGAGGUUCGAAGGCGAUCAGAUACCGCCCUAGUUCUAACCAUAAACGAUGCCAGCUAGCGAUCCGCCGACGUUCCUCCGAUGACUCGGCGGGCAGCUUCCGGGAAACCAAAGCUUUUGGGUUCCGGGGGAAGUAUGGUUGCAAAGCUGAAACUUAAAGGAAUUGACGGAAGGGCACCACCAGGAGUGGAGCCUGCGGCUUAAUUUGACUCAACACGGGAAACCUCACCAGGCCCGGACACCGGAAGGAUUGACAGAUUGAGAGCUCUUUCUUGAUUCGGUGGGUGGUGGUGCAUGGCCGUUCUUAGUUGGUGGAGCGAUUUGUCUGGUUAAUUCCGAUAACGAACGAGACUCUGGCCUGCUAACUAGGCGUAUUUCCGACAUCUCGAAGGCCCGCCGGCCUGGUGCGUUCGCGUGCCAAGUCGUGCGCGGUUUUUACUGUCGGCGUACAAACAAUUCUUCUUAAAGGGACAGGCGGCUUCUAGCCGCACGAGAUAGAGCAAUAACCGGUCUGUGAUGCCCUUAGA